UUGGGAAAUAAUAAAAUGUAUAAUCUGCUCAAUGAUUUUUUUUUAAAUUGCUGUGGUAUUUUGACUAUACGAAGGUAUUGAAAUAAGAUUUUAAAUGAGUGCUAAGAGAAUGAUUAAACAAUUAAAAGCUUUCUUUAAUUGAAUAAUUGAAUUUAAUUUUUUAGUGCAAAAGCAAAAAUAAAAAUUAGGGACAAGAAGACCCUAUGAAUUUUUUAUUAAAUUUUAUAAAACUUUAUAUAAAAUUUAAUUUAAUUGGGGUGAUGGAAAAAGAAUAAAUAUCUUUUUUUAAAAAAAAUUGGUUCCGUUUUUAGCGAUUAAAUGAAAAAAAUACUCUAGGGAUAACAGCGUAAUAAUUUUGGAUAGUUCAUAUAGAUAAAAUAGUUUGCGACCUCGAUGUUGGAUUAGGAUUCUUUUUUGGUGAAGAAGUUAAAAAAAGAAGUU
rnacentral:rRNA from 1 species